rnacentral:lncRNA from 1 species
CUCUUUGAUACUAGACUUAUAGGUUUGGCUAUCCCAGAUCUAGUAUAGCUGGUCAUUGGGAGUGGUAGUCGACCUUACGAGGGCUAUUGAGUGUCAAUAGAGGAUCAUUCACUCUCGGCAUCAUGAGAGGAAUAUCCCAUGUGUUCUUGCUCAGACAAAUCCCUAGCUAGGGUCAUUCGGGUUGAGAGAGAAAGAGUUCUUCGGGAGAAUCCGAUUAGAGCGAGACUCGAGUAGAAACCGUAUGGGUCUGACAGCACCAU